UACAGAGGUCCCGAGCGUUGUUCGGAUUCACUGGGCGUAAAGGGUGCGUAGGUGGCUUGAAAAGUUUGAUGUGAAAGCUCAGGGCUUAACCCUGAAAUGGCAUUGAAUACUGUCGAGCUGGAGGUUUGGAGGGGGGACUGGAAUUCUUGGUGUAGCAGUGAAAUGCGUAGAUAUCAAGAGGAACACCAGUGGCGAAGGCGAGUCCCUGGACAAACACCUGACACUGAGGCACGAAAGCUAGGGGAGCAAACAGG
rnacentral:rRNA from 1 species